rnacentral:lncRNA from 1 species
GGGAAUUGUAGUUGACGUUGGUCAGCACGGAGGCCACAGGAUCCCAGCCCGGCCUUUGUGGGACUGAGGUGGCGCUGAGUGGGAGAGCAGCAGGCGAUGCGCGAAAGGCGGGACUUGGAGGUUCUGGAUGUUCCUGUGGAUAACCUCAAGGAGCACGGGACCUGGGACAUGACUGCCCCCAGCAUUCCUUCUGGCGGCAGACAGAGUUUGUCAGUUCGCCAACAUCCUGCUUUCAUGAGAACAGUUUGCUGUUUGCUCACAGAGCCUCCAGUGGUAUACUGAGUUGGUCACGACCCUCAUUCCUUCGGCCUCCAACAUCUCCCCUUUUGUUUUUGCAUUAAUUGAAUAAAGAUGACGUCACUGAGGUAAGGGCGGGUUAAAGCCUGUCCUAUACCAAGCAAGUUGUGCAGCCAACUGGGGGACUGAAUCCCAGUGUGAUGUGAUGAAGAGGUGUUGAAGGUCCACCACCAGUGCCAGUGAAGUUUGUGCCAAGAGAUUCCGCUGGCUCAUGGCUCGUACUGGAGGUAACAGGCCCACGGUUGAAUACCAUGGAUCCCUCCGGUCUCCCGUUCCAUGGUCACACACACCUGGAGGGCACCCACACGGUUUGUCCAUCUCCUGUAAAAACACAAGCAUACCCUCGUCCCCACGUCAGCAAAUCCACCGGACCUUUCCAUUGUCCUUCUUCUGGGGAUUUCCAUAACACUUUUGGAUAAACUUGCCUCUUUUCCUCUAGCAGUUGCCAGUGUCGUUCUGCUGGGGUCUUGCCAUCCGUACCAGGAGUCAAACAAUUUAAAGUAAACAAGGCUAAAUGUAAUUUUGUUUGAAGUGGUAAUUGGUCCCCUAUUCUCCCUUUUUGUUUUUUCAGCAUGCGUUGUAGUGUUUGAUGUACCCGCUCAAUAAUGCCUGGCCCUCAGGGAUUGUAUGGAAUUCCUGUUUUAUGAUUGAUUGCCCACAAUUGUAAAAAAUUGGGAAAGCAUGACUAACAUAAGCGAGUCCACUGUCAGUUUUAAAUUGUUUAGGGACCCCCAUAUGGGCAAAUGACGACAGACAGUAUCGUCAGACAUGACCAGCUGUUUCCCCAGUUUGGCAUGUGGCAUGUAACAUAUGGGAGUAAGUGUCUAUAUUACAUGAACAUAGCGGAGUUAGCCAAAGGCUGCUAUAUAUAUGUAACAUCCAUCUGCCAGAUUUCAUUUGGAGCCAAGCCUCGUGGGUUGCAUCCUUCCACAGGUGCAACACCAGGGACAUGCUGGCAAGUGGGGCAGGCUUGCACAAUAACUCAAGCCUGGCUGCGAGGCAGAUGAAACAUACGAGUAAGGGCAAGUUGUUCUGAUGCAGUAAAGCAUGGGAAGCUUGGGCUUGUUGAAAUAUAGAACUGAUGAAUUUAUCUGCUCUAUCAUUACCUAGAGAUAGUGGCCCCAGGAAGUUGUGUGUGAGAUCGGAUAUGAGAAAUAUGAAAAGGGGCAGCAUGAGAGCGAACAGCUUUUUGGAGUCUCAGAAAUAGGUUAAGCAGUUCUGGUUUUAAGGUGCUCUUGUGUGGGCGGCAAGCCAUCCAGGCGCCGAAGCAAGAGACAGAGGACACGGGCUGUUCCAGUAUAAUAAAAUAUAAAACAAGAAUAGUUAUACCAGAUAUAGAUCUUAGAUAUGAUUAUAUAUGAAUAUCAUUAAUCAUUAGUUUGUAGCAAUUACUUUUUAUUCCAAUAUUACAAUAAUCCUUGCUCUAUAAUCAUAGCCUAGGAAAAACCAGGCCAUACAGAGAUAGGAGCUGAGGGGACAUAGUGAGGUGUGACCAGAAGACAAGAGUGCGAGCCUUCUGUUAUGCCCAGACAGGGCCACCAGAGGGCUCCUUGGUCUAGUGGUGACGCCAGCGUUUGGGAAGACCGUGGUCUAGCGGUAGCGAAAAGUGUCAAGGAACAACACCCGCUACUUAGCAGACCGGGAAAGGGUGGGGGGCGGUCUCCCUUUCCCUGGGGGAGGUUAGAGAAGACUCUGCUCCUCCACCUCUUGUGGAGGGCCUGACAUUAGUCAGGCUCGCCCACAGUUAUCCGGAGGCCUAACCGUCUCCCUGUGAUUCUGUGCUUCAGUGGUCACGCUCCUAGUCCGCCUUCAUGUUCCAUCCUGUACACCUGGCUCUGCCUUCUAGAUAGCAGUAGUAAAUUAGUGAAAGUACUAAUAGUCCCUGAUAUGCAGAAAUAAUGGCGUAAGCUGUCUUUCUCUCUGUCUCCUCUCCCUCUCUGCCUCGGCUGCCAGGCAGGGAAGGGCCCCCUGACCAGUGGACACAUGACCCACGUGACCUUACCUAUCAUUGGAGAUGACUCACACUCUUUACCCUGCCCCUUUUGCUUUGUAUCCAAUAAAUAAGAGCGCAGCCAGACAUUCGGGGCCACUACCGGUCUCCGCGCAUUGGUGGUAGUGGUCCCCCAGGCCCAGCUGCCUUUUAUCUCUUUGUCUUGUGUCUUUAUUUCUACACUCUCUCGUCGCCGCACACAGGGAGAGACCCACCGACCCUGUGGGGCUGGUCCGUACACUCUUGAUAGUGGCAGUUUUAAUGCAACUAGCUACAUUUACGACAUAGGCUGAAUUACAGACAAUAUUAAUAGGAAAUAAAGCUGUGAGCUUUAAAACUUGAAUAACUGCCAUUAAUUCAGAGUGUUGAGCUGAAACUCUAGGGGUCUUUAUUAUUUAAGUAUAUUUAGGUCCAUAAAUGGCUGUGUGGCUUUUGGAAGAGCCAUCGGUAAAAUAGGUCUGUCCACCUGAAAUGGGUUUGUGAUGAGCAAUCACAGGGGGAAUAAAAGGGUGAAUUUUAUAAAACUGCAAAAUUUUGUCUGAUGGAUAAUGGUUAUCUAUUAUUUCUACAAAAUCUGCGAAAGUGAUUUGCCAUGCAGUGGACAUCUCCCAGGCCGCAGCCUGUUGUUGGGAAUCCAAGGUAACAAUAAUUUUAUCAGGAUCAUAUCCUGUAAGCAUUUUUGAUCUAUGCCUGCCUAUUGUUAUAAGUUGUGUGACUAAAGCAAGAUAAACUUGCAAAGAUUUUACUGUUUGACUGGAUAAAAAAAGCCA